rnacentral:lncRNA from 1 species
GGAAUGCUAUCUACCUCCAGAGAAAGAACCAGGCUGUUCUUCAGGCUGGAACAUCAGCUCUCCUCACUUAGAACUUCUAGCUAAUUUCAAAGAACAUAAGCUUCUUGAGGUCAGAGAUAUGUAAUGGGGAAGAGGCAUAUGAGCAGAGCACUUCUGAUGGUGUCUUCACCUGUGCAGAGGCUAUAGGGCUCCUGCCUUUGGGACACUUAUGAUGACAUGCCAUGGAAGUGGAGUGGAGGGAGACUGAAUAGUAUACAACAUGUUGUACCUUGUGAUCAGCUCACUAAAGGGACUAUGGAGGCUGGUGGAUAGGAUGGGCAAUUAAAUAAGAAUUCCGUGAUCUGAUAGUUGGAACUAUCCCCAAGGUUUUUGGAAAUCUACUCUCUACCUCUGUUACCUUUACUAACAUGCUAUCCGUUAGUACUUAAAAACAAUCUGGAAAAGGAGCAUGUGUGAUUCAUAAAAGAAGGCUCAGUUAGGUUCUUUCCUGGGAAGAAACUUCUCAUUCCCACUGGACACCAGGUAAUUUGGCUCUAUUGUGGAUGACCUAUAGGAAUCAGCUCACUGGAGAAAUGAGUGAUGGCAACGGUACUCAAAGGAACCACUGUUCAUUUAUUUAAAAUAUUUUUGUGUUAAAUAUUCGGAGAUAAAUGUGUUGUCAGGGCUGAUCUCGGG